rnacentral:rRNA from 1 species
UGCCAGCAGCCGCGGUAAUACGGAGGGUGCAAGCGUUAAUCGGAAUUAUUGGGCGUAAAGCGCGUGUAGGCGGUUCGUUAAGUCUGAUGUGAAAGCCCAAGGCUCAACCUUGGAACUGCAUUUGAAACUGGGAAUCUAGAGAUCAGGAGAGGUUAGUGGAAUACCGAGUGUAGAGGUGAAAUUCGUAGAUAUUCGGUGGAACACCAGUGGCGAAGGCGACUAACUGGACUGAUACUGACGCUGAGGUGCGAAAGUGUGGGGAGCAAACAGGAUUAGAUA